rnacentral:lncRNA from 1 species
UAUAUAUGUCCCCCAAACACUAUUACAACUUUCAGUUUAGCAGUUCAAAAUCUAUUCCUUUUCGUCGGAGCCCUUCUGAAUGUUCGUUUGUGCUCAAAUUUGACAAUCAGGCUCGAUUUAAGUUAAUAAGAAGAAAGAUAUCUUAACUUUUCAGUUUGGACCAUUUUGGUCACCGAAAGCUCUACCGACUAAAAUCUCUAGCAGAUAGCAGUCAGAUUUUAUUUUUCACUUUUCGGGUGUCAGAAUGACGUGAAACUUUAAAUCUAGCCUCAUAAAAAUAAUUCCGACAUAUUCCCAAGUUUUCAUAAUUUUCUGACACUUUGAAUUUUCUGCUAAAAUAUCAGCCCCGUUUCUUACAGAAAAUUUUAAAUUUUCUGUUUCCGUUCCGAUUUCAGCACAAGUCAUUUCCGACUUAUAUUUUACUUCUCUAAGUCCAAUAAAAAUAGUAUCUUAUACUAUUUUUAUUUAUACUUACUUUUAUAUUAAAAAUUCGGUAUAUUACAUUCAUAUUCCCUAUCUCCCAUGAGAAACAUUUUCUCUACAUCCUCUGUAAUGAUAUCUAAGUAUCUUUUAGGAGGAUGGGAGAUUCUAUUCGACCUACGAGGUGGAGGAUAUUCUACAUGUACUGGCUCAGCUUGAAUAGGUUCUGUAGGUUUGAUGACUCGUUGCUCUUCAGAGACUCUCUCUUCGAGCUCAAUUUUCUUCCCACUAGCUCCUUGAAUAAACUGUUUUUCCAAGAAAGUAGCAUAUCGGCUCACAACUAUAUUGUGAUCCUCUGGGAUA